CCCCUCCCCGCCGCCGUCGCGCGCUCGGCGGCGAUCUGUUUUGCUCGCGGUGGCGGGACGCGAGCGCGGAGAGGGAGGGCAGGGCGGAAAGCAUCCAGGACCCCGGCCCCGCCCCGCGCAGACACCCGGCCGCUGCGCCCCUCGCGCCGCUCCCCUUCUCACGCGCUGGCUGGCGGGUGCUCGGCCUUCGCCGCGGGCUCCUGGCACACGGGGCUGGGGUCGCCCUGGCGCCCUCCUGUCCCUCCUCCCGCGGGGCCGCGGGCGCGAGCACGGCACGUCCCAGCCUUGGGGAGUGGAGGACGCCCGUCUUCGGACUGGGACCGUGGUAGGAGACGAGUAAAGAGGGAAAGGGCUUGGAAAAUUACGGCGGCACAAGAAGGGGCAAGACCAGAUGGGCAGGCAAGGCCGACAGGCUUGGGUGUCGCGGCGUACGAGUUGUCGGGGUGUCUGAUGUAACUGGUAACAGCGUCAGCCCGCGAGCCCAGAAUCUUCUCACUCUCAGCUAGCACCUCUGCUGGUGCCAGUGCCUUCCUGAGUGGCAUGACCAAGAUCUUCAACCCUGAGCAGUUACAGCCUCUGUCACCAUGCCCAUCUCAGCUGGGGUUGCUGCACAUCAAUUUGCCAUCAAAAUUGGACAAGGAAGCAAUUCUCCCUCUCAUGUCGUCAGCGCCCACUAAAAGAAUGACUAGGUCAUCAUUCUCGGUGAAAAGCUUUGUAUUUUCUGCUUUGGAAACAAGGAACCCUACAUUGCAUUUGCACUGGGCCUGGCAAAUUAUAUAGCUGGUCCUGUCUCAUCCAUGGCUAGUGGCAAUGUAAAAAAUGUAUGACCAUUUUGGAAAACAGUUUGGUAGUUUCCUGUGAAGUUAACCAUGCAUUUACCACAUAAACCAUGGGAGAGAGAAGCUGAUUGAGUUAAUGUCACAUCUGCACCCCAAAGAAGAGAGUAGAAGAGAUCUUAUAAUUGGCACCCCCUCCAGAACCACACAAAAUGGACGAGGGGCAAUUCCCCCAAAUGAAUGGAAAAAGGCAGUCUGAGCAAACAAAAAUAAUAGACAGGCUGGACAACAAAGGGGAGAACAGAAUUGUAGGAGAGGGCAGGAGAGAGGUAAGAAAGGUGAGAAUAUUCCGCACAGAUGGCAGUGCUGAAAUUCAAGAUUCCUGCCAACUUCAAUAAAGCACUUGUUUGAUUCAAGUCUACAUUAACACACUGUUUUCGUUUCCAAGCUGCCAAAGCAAAUACUUACCAUGGGUUUGCUUAACAACAGGAAUAUACUGGGCUCAGGGUUUCAGAGGCUAGAAGGCCAGCUUC